CCCUUAGAUGUUCUGGGCCGCACGCGCGCUACAAUGAUGAAUUCAACGAGUUUAUAACCUUGGUUGAAAAGCCUGGGUAAUCUUUUGAACUUUCGUCGUGAUGGGGCUAGACCCUUGCAAUUAUUGGUCUCCAACGAGGAAUUCCUAGUAAACGCAAGUCAUCAGCUUGCAUUGAUUACGUCCCUGCCCUUUGUACACACCGCCCGUCGCACCUACCGAUUGAAUGGUUCGGUGAAAUCUUCGGAUUGAGACUUUGAUUUGUUUACUCAAAACGCUGUUUCAAGAAGUUGAUUAAACCUUACCAUUUAGAGGAAGGUGAAGUCGUAACA
rnacentral:rRNA from 1 species